UAAAGGGAAUACAUUACCAACUGCUGCAUCACAACAUUGAACACCCUGACAUCGGAGGAGCAAAUCGUCUACCGAAGCCGGACAUCAGUGUGCAAAGACAUAGGAACCCGGUGGCGGAGACCUGCAAGCACACCUGGACCAAGCAUCGCCCACUCAUUCAAACCAACCUAUGACCCCUCAUGUACUGUAAAUGACCUGCCCCUUGACCUAUGGAAGAGCUUACAUUUCCCAUAGUACUGUAUUUGGACCCAUUGUAUAAAAGAGAGUCCUCCGGGCCAGGUUCAGGCUAUUCUAUGAAGGUCAUCUUGCUAAGACUGACUGAGUCCUGGAUCCGGGAGCGCUCGUGAACAAACGUAUGUACUAUUGGUUGUAGCUCUUCUCUGUAAUAUUGUUGUAUCUUUUACCUGUAUCUUUUGAGUAACUAUUGUUGAUGCUUUGGACCACAACAUAACAUUUAACUACUGGUGUCGCAUUCCAUUCUUGUUUGGGGAAUAAGGUGUAUUCAGCCACACGUGUCGCUGCAUUGUGCGCACAGCGUGACAGCAUGUAUACGCAACGUGCAUACAUAUCUCAGAGGUCAUUUACUUAUGUUUAGCGGCCGCAGCAGCUAUAACUCUAGUGUAACGAGGUAUUGCUUUUCCUUGUAAGGAAUUCGAACUUUACACCACACCGAAGUGCUGGCGAUAUCUACAAUGGAGGGCGGCGGGCAGCGGGAUGGGCAGCAAGAACCCCCAGGCCCCUCCAACAGGAUCGGGCCCGGGUAAAAUGUAGUUUCCCCCCUCUCUGCACCACUGCUGGUGGUAAUACAGAAAUCAUAAAAAUGAGCUACUGAUUAUGGCAUAUACAGUAUGACUGUACACAGGGCCAUAAUUAGGGUGGGGCCAAGUGUGCUCACCGCACAGCAUAUAUGCGACGCAUAUAUCCUGUGGGUGCAUACCUGCAUCCACCGUAAGAGACCCCGCUAGCACCCACAAUCGCAUCCACCCACCGCCAGCUGCCGCUGCCAGCUGUAAUGUAUACAUACAUAUAUACAUACAUUCAUUACAGCAGAGCUGCCCGCACAUGUGCUCCGCCCCCUCCCGGCUCCCCUGUUGGAACCAUAGGCAAACAUAGGGGGGGUUUCCUAACCACUUAUUUAUAUUAUUUAAAUAUGUUUGACACAGCCUAUACCAUAGACCAUCUGUAGCGCUAAAUAUUAAUUCUGUAUUCCAUAUAGUAUUCAGUGUAUAAAAAGACCAAUGUUUA